UAAAAAUUUCGGUCAGGCGAGGGGGAAGCAGGGUGGGGAAGUCGCUUUCGCAGUCUGUGAGCUGUCAGCGUGCGUGCUGUCUUGCGCGGUGUCCCGGGCGCAGGGAGGGCUUGUCUCCAUGCGGUCGUGAUAAUGAAGUGAGUCUAAAAAUGUGAUCAAACUGUGCUUUUGUUUGGACCUCUUCUUAUUCGUAUCAUCUUUGUCUGGUAUUGCAGUUCAUCGUAAUCGGGCGAUGCGUGGCAGAAACUCAUGGGUUUCCAACUGAUGCUGUACGGGAUUGUGAUCCUGCAGACGUGUGUUGAUGUUAACUAUGCUGCAUGGAGAGAGACGCCCAGCAGUGUGCCUAUUACCAUGUCUGCCCAGUUGCGCUGCUUUUUUUGUACGUUCUCAACGACUAACUUCACGGAACAUCUC